rnacentral:rRNA from 1 species
AUUGAACGCUGGCGGCAUGCUUUACACAUGCAAGUCGAACGGUAACAGGCCUUCGGGUGCUGACGAGUGGCGAACGGGUGAGUAAUGCAUCGGAACGUACCCAGAGGUGGGGGAUAACGCAGCGAAAGCUGUGCUAAUACCGCAUGUGAUCUGAGGAUGAAAGCGGGGGACCGAGCAGCAAUGUUUGGCCUCGCGCCUUUGGAGCGGCCGAUGUCGGAUUAGCUAGUUGGUGGGGUAAAGGCCUACCAAGGCGACGAUCCGUAGCUGGUCCGAGAGGACGACCAGCCACACUGGGACUGAGACACGGCCCAGACUCCUACGGGAGGCAGCAGUGGGGAAUUUUGGACAAUGGGCGCAAGCCUGAUCCAGCAAUGCCGCGUGCGGGAAGAAGGCCUUCGGGUUGUAAACCGCUUUUGGCAGGAACGAAACGGUGUCCGCUAAUACCGGGCGCUAAUGACGGUACCUGCAGAAUAAGCACCGGCUAACUACGUG